UAAAUCACUCUUGCCCUCUCUCCAGGCCAUACCCCCUGUACCAGGACUGUAACUGCUGUGGCUCUGUGUGUCACUCACUGGACUUUUUGAGGACAGCAAAGAAUCAGUGGCUCCAACAUGUAACUUUGCCUGCGGCUUAUUCCAGAAAGGAACAUGAAUGAAAGCAUUCAGUGGGGGAGGGGUGCGUGAAGCCCCUGCUCCCUGCUCUCCACAGCUCUCCACAUACUCUUCCUGGGGAGACACACUGACCCCUGACACCUGAUGGUGCAACAGCGAACCGGGUUCCAUAACGGGUGUUAGGAGGAGAAAUGUCAGCCAGGCUGGGCCUGCUAGAUGCUCUCUGUGCCUCAUCCUUCUCUGCUCCAGGGACACUGUGGGCACUGUCGUAGUCUGUCACAUGCUGCUCUUCCAGAAUACCACUGCCUGGUCAAUUAUAAACAAGGAAAGUUCAAACUGGCUCACAGUUUUGAGGUCAGGAAGUCCACGGUGGGGAAGCUGUGUCUGGUGAGGGUCUUCUCUCUGGUAUUGUAUGGCAGGAAGACGUGCCAAAACCAGCAAGAAAGGGCUGAGCUCUUUAUUUACAUAACAAAAACUGGAAUUUGGAGGGGACACAGUCAAACCAUAGGCUGGUCCCCCCAGUCUGAUGAGGAAGGAACACCAGACCUACAGGAUGGCUGUAAGUAAAAUAGACUUCAUUUUGUUAAGCCACUGAGACUGUAGGGGUUUCUUAACAUAGCAGUGUCUAAUUGCUCUUGGCUAAACCCGUGAGGCCUGGGGAGAUGGAAAGUGGGCUGGACUGCACAGCAUGUUCGUGUCAGGGCCAGGCCCAAGCGCAUCUUUAUUUUCACAGAUAGACCAGUUUCCACCUCCAGGCAUGUCCUCCUCCUUCACACUUGUUCAGAAACACCAAAUGAGGGGCUGGAGGUUUGGGCUGGGUGGUGAGGAGUGGGUUCUUGCGGAGGACCGAGUUUGUUUCCCUGCCCGCUGCUCGUAGCUGCCUGUAGCUUCAGCUCCCAGGGACCCAAGGUGCUCUUGUAGACUCCGCAAGCAUCUGAACCCACAUGCGCACACAGACCUGCACACACGCCUAAUUAAAAAGGAAAUGAAUUUUUUUAAAAGGUGUUCAAAAAUACAAAAUGUGAAUCCAAGGUAAGUUUUGUUCAAGGCCCCAUUUGAGCCAAUCUGAUCAGGGCUCUCCUGUGAUGACGCCUCUGAAGGCGGCCAACCCGUCCGACGUCCUCUGUCAUUAGAGGAUCAGCCUGUGCGGCUGCGGUCUGGAUCUGAGGCUCCAUCUUCCAUUAAGUGUUAUUAGCCUGAUCCGCAGGCCCCUCCCUGCCUGCCAUUCACCAUUUGCCUGGAUGCCGUGUGGGAACUGGAAGGACAGAGAACCAGUUUUAGAACUAGCACUCGUACCAGGAGACUGAGACCCCACGUGCCGAACCCAGCAAAUGGGGCUCCUUGGUCUCAGCUGCGUAAACCUUGACUCGGUUCUGAAAACAUUUGCUAAGCAGUGUUGCACCAUGGUGGAGCAGAGUGAGAAUAGCCUGGGGGCGUACAAUGGCUGCUGCAUGGUGGAGCUGGUACAGCUCGGUGGAGCUGAUACGGCACGGUGGAGCUGAUACGGCACGGUAGAGCUGGUUCGGCACGGUGGAGCUGGUACGGCACGGUGGAGCUGGUUUGGCACGGUGGAGCUGGUUCGGCACGGUGGAGCUGGUUCGGCACGGCGUCGCAUAACAUGGGUAAACCCAGAGGCCACGUGUGGAAGAUGCAGGAACCAUAGCCUGGCCCUUGUCAGAGGAGGGAGUCUCCACUGGUCAUCUCCCUCUGGUGUCUUCACAACGGCCUCAGCCCGCUGUCUACUCUGUCUGUCUGUACAUCUCUCUCCCUGUGUCUCUGUCCUCCGAGCCAGACUAUUUCUGCUCAGGGAGUAACAGACGCUUACUGUAAGGUCUGAGCUGCUCUUCUUCGAUCACAAUUAUUCAAUUUAAUAGCUGGUUUUUAUCUGCCAGAUGCCGCAUCAGGUACACCGUAGCUGCAGAGGUAAGUGUAAUGUGGCCCCCACCUCAAAGAUGCUGUAGUCCAGCACCCAUUCUGCACCUUAGGGUACUUCUCCCACUGUGCACCUUGGCAGGGGAAUACUCCUUCUGUUUUCUGGCCAUGCAUCACAGUCUCACAAAGGGCCUCUAAAACUCCAGACUCUGCCAGGCAUGGUGGUGCAUGCCUUUAAUCUCAGCACUCAGGAGGAGAGGCAGGUAGAUAUCUGAGGUCCAGGCUAGCCUGGUCUUCAUAGUAAGAAAAUGGUGUAUGAGGGACACAUAUGAGAGCCAAUGCUGGCCACACAGUGCUCCAGUGUUCUGGCAGAGCUGGGCUGGCAUUGCCUCUAGGGAGGAGACCCAGAAGGGAGGCUCUGGGAAGAGUGUCGUAUCCUCCACAGGCUAAGAGUUGUGAAGUGUGAGCUCAGAUGCGUGGCUUUAUCCAGUGUUGGGCUUCUGAGCAGGAAGCCAGACAAACCCAGCCCCAGAGAAGGAAAAUAAACUCUGGACACAUAUUUUUAGAAAGUGGGCAAGCCCUGCAGCUCAGUUCUCUGUGGAACAGAAUCUAAAACCAGUUGGUGUGUCUCCAAGCAGGAAGCCAGGACCCACAGGCUGCGUGCUGGGUGGGGACCUCUGUGGAACACCGGAGGGCAAUACCCUGCCGCAGCCAUCACUCCAGGUCUUGCUUCAGGACCCCAGGUCCAUGAGGGACUUCCCUGCUGUCACCGUGGUGUGGACAAUAGCUGUGAUGAUGAUGGAGGUGUGAGCCAGUCAUGUACUAAGCCUAUGAUCCCACUCAGGCCCUUCGAUGACCCUGAGGACUAAGUAUGGCUCAUCCCGAUCAACCCCCUUGGAGCUCCAAGGGUCAGUCCCAUAGUAAGCAGCCACAGGCUGGGGACUCAGAGGCAGGUGAUCCUCCACGUGGGUGGAAGCCCUUCCCCCUCCGACCAGUCUAACAGCUACCCGGUUCACACCAGCCCUCAGGGCCCUUUUAGACCCUCUCCAUAUUUAGGUUCAAGGUGCUUAGUCCUUUCAAUACCUCUUUCCUCCUCACUAACAUGCUGUAGGAUACUAUGUGAAAUCAGAAAUCCAGGGGCCCAAAAUUUUGAGAUCACAUGGCACGAAUUUGUUUGUUUUUGUAAAGUCUCAUGUAGCCCAGGCUGGCCUCAGAUUCACUAUUUAGCCCAGAAUCACCUUGGACUCCUGAUCCUUCUGCCUCCACCUCCCAAGUGCUGGGAUUGCAGAGGUGUGCCCACACCCCUGGCUGGAUCUCAUUUUCAGAAGUAGUAAAUCAUUCCUAGAAUUAAGACUGUAGGAGGUGGAUGACUGAACUGAGGAAAAAAAAAACUUAAAAGGAAACGGUGAGGUGUUCUUUUUACAAUCUGGCCUAAAGGCACAGAAGGUAGUUAUUGCCAGAAAAAAUGUACAAAAAUAGCAACAAGCUUAUGCAAAGGGUAGAGCCUCCCAAGGCAGGAAACACUAUGUGCUUUGAUGCAGGCACAUCCCAGCAGAAUGGGGUAGACAUGUCAGCAACACCAUUUACAGACACUGGCGGAUUGUCAUUGUCUGUGCCAAGAUGGUUAGAGGACCCGGAGUUUGCACAGUGGGGCUAGAUACCUGGGGUCCAUGCACCUUCUCACCCUUGUCCUCUUGGAACCUGCAGCCCUGGCUAGAGCCCACACUGAGGCCUCCCCAUCUUUCCAGUAACUGCUGUGACUUCUAAGGACUUCAGGGGGCAACUGGGCAACCCAUCUAACUAGUUAGGAGCCCUGUGCAAAGGGCAAUUCUGAGUUUCCAAUCAAGGCCCCGGGGGAAGGGAUGGAAACAGGGAACAAAGACCUUCCCUUGACGUGGUUCUUCCAAAUCAGAGGUCAGAGGCUCCUGCCCUAGCUGCAGGGCCUGGCACACUGCCUUCCUUCUCCCUAAAGACUCAGCUAUGCAGGCUCCAGGCCCUGAUUCAAGAUGACCCAGGCUCAUCUCAUUCAAAAUGAAAAGCGCCCCCUGGUCUGCUGGUACGAGGACCAGAACGCCGAAUCUGGCAGAGAACAGGAAGUGACUCCCCGGAGAUGAGACAAGCUCUGUAGAAAGACACUAGAUGGGAUGCACACACCCUCCCCUUGGUGACCUGGUGAGGUACAGACAGCUCCACACCUAGGAGAAGAGAAGGCUAGGAGGAACCGGCCUGGUCUGGCUUGAGCAUCAAUAGAGGUUUGGGGCGCAGGCAACUGCUGCCCCGGGACCAGGGCAGUGGAAAUAGUGGCCCCAGGAGGACCUGGUGGAGCGGAACCUCUCUGUGAGUGGCCACUGCACACACCCCUCCCCAUGGCAGGCAGUCACAGGACUAAAAAAGGUAUUUAUCACCACUCAAUGCCCACCCUAUGGAAGAGACACAAGGCUUUGCUGAAUAAAAGAAAUGGAUAUAAUUUGGCACCUAGUGGUUUACCUCCCAAGCUUUAGAGAUUAAGAAAACAAGUUUUAAGUCGAGCCUGAUGAUGUAUCCCUAUAACCCAAGCUACUCCAGAGACUGAGGAAGGAGUGUGAGGUCAGCCUAGGCUACAUAGUGAGACCCUGUCUCGAUAAACAACAAACAAACAUCAAAUAAUAUUCUUUAGUUAUGGACUCUCCCACUGACUGUUUGACAAUCAUACACAUUUUAAUUCUACUCUUUGGGAGUGAACUGAGGAUCCAGAUGUGGUGGCACACACCUGCAAUCCCAGCACUCUGGAGGGGCACAGAGGAAAACUGAAAGUUUGAGGAGAGCCCGUGGGUGAUGGUGGCUUGCUGGGGAGCAGUGCUUGCUACUCAAGCAUCAGGAACUGAGUUCAGAUCUCCAGAAUCCACACAAAAAGUCAAACAUGGUUUUAUGUGCCUAAAACACCAGCAGUGGGAAUCAGGGGCCAGAGCGGGGCGGAGUAGACAGAAAGAUUCAUUGGGCUUGCUGGCUAGCCAGUCUAGCUGAAAACAGUAAGCUCCAAGGUCAAUGAGAGAUCCAGAGACCCCCUAUCAAGGGAAUAAGGUGGAUAAGGGUGAUAGGAAAACCAAUACCUUCCUCUGCCACCCCCAGGUGCAUACAAACACAUAUAGUACGUACACACACACACACACACACACACACACACACACACACACACAGGAGUACACUGAAAAAUAACCUUACAGAAAGCCUCAGAAAUAUAUAGAUAUGAACGUAAAAGAAUAUGGCUAAAUUUAUAAUGUAAGCAUUACAGUUUGGAUGGAAAGGUAUCCUGGCAGCCAGGAACCAAGGAAUACCACAAAGUCACACCGCACAACAAACCUCACACAAGAGAUUUAUUGGGAGGGAAAGAAUCAGGAGGAUGGCUGCCUUUGCUUGGGCGAGAAGCAGCAGCAAACUGAACAGGAUACAGGGCUUGUUAUACAGCUUCAUGGGAAGGGGGUGGAACUUUUCAGGGUAGAGAUUGGUGGGAUUUCAUGGCUAGAGAUUGGGCUUUUGACUCUGUAGGGUGGGGGCAGCGUCCAGCAGUUAGGGCAGCUAGAGUAUUUUUGGGUGGAACGUGUCAGUAGGAGGUCCUGGGGGAGGGACCUGGUCUGAAAGGCUUUACACAUAAGACAAGAGAUAAGCAGGAGGUACUCCAGUUGACACAGUGUCCUGGGCUCCACACGCCUUUUUCCAUUCCGCCUCACAAAGCAGAGGCCAUCUUCCCCCAACUGAAAUGCUCACACACCAAACAAGUAGACAACAAACAAAGAAACGAAUGGACAAAGUCUACCUAGUUUUAUGGGCCAGGAAACUGUUGGGCAAUAGAAUGAGAUGGAAGCAGACCAGAUCUUUGAAACUUGCUAUCACAGCAGCCUACAUCCUACAAGCAACCUGAUGUCAGAGGUACCAAGGGCUUUAAUUCAUUUCCCAAAGGCCACAGAGACCUAGAAGCAUCAUCAGUAACAAGGUCAGGCCUCUAGCUGUCUGUAUGCGGCAACACUCAAGGCCGAUAAACUCACCUAAUGAGCACAAAUCAGAGAUGCCAAGGGCUGACGUCAGCCUGAUCGCUCUAGAAGAGCGUACGCAUCCACACACGUGCUUGUGCGCACACACAGGCACACAAGCCAACUCCCUGGCUUAGGGUUUCUUGUUCAUUCAGCCUCACCCUUUGAAAGUAUUUCCAGAAUUUUGGCUAGUGCCCUCGGCAGCUUUGCCGCACACACAUCCUCAGAAGUUAAGAGUUUAUGAAGUGUGACCUGUUUGUCAGGGACUAGGUUCCAUUAGGUUCAGCUUUCAACUGUGAAUUUUCACCCAUGACUACAGCAGGAAGGUUACAGCCUGCCAGCGGGGAUUGGAGUCCUGAACCUAAGAGUGGCUAGUCUAUAGCUUGGAGUUUCCCCUUCCAAAUGCUCCAGAAGCUCCGGAGUAUGGCCCCAGUGAGGAAAUAGAUGGUUCUGAGGGUUUUAAGGUAGGCUUGGGAUUUGAGCCUAUAUUAAACAUACACGAAGACCCCCUCCUAAUCUGCCUUGGUCUAGAUUCCAGGAUACCUUAAAGCAAUGGAGCCUGGGUGAGGACCCAGGGCAGACCACUCAGGGGACUGGUAAGAAACUUCUGAGACACAUGACACUGAGCUGCUCUGCUCCUCGAAGCUGGAGGAUAUCUGGUAGGUCGCACAGACUUUUCUGGAAGUCCUCACUAUGCCUCCUUCCUCCUUUAAUAGUUGCACAACAGAAAGUUCAUGUAGUUCAGAGGACAAGGAGGAAGACUAUAAAGGAAAUAGUUUCUGUUCCUGGGGGGUUGUUGGUGGCUGCCCCCCCCCACCCCUCCCAGGGCAGUCACCAGGAGGGAGUGUUGAGCCUGCUGUCACUGGGGUGAUGGACAGUUCUGAAGUCUUGCUGUCUUGGGAGCCUGAGUCUCAUGAAGAUCACAAACUUGCUUUGUAGCUGAGGAUGACCUUCUUAAACUCAGCUGCCUGCCUCCACCUCCCGAGUGGGGCUAAUGCAGCGCUGUACCACCAUGUCCAGCCGGAAGUCUCAGGAGACAGGACCGCGGAGGACAGUUUUGCUGUAUCCUGAAUCAAGGCACCUUUAAAAGCACUUCAGCUGUCAGUCACAAAGGCUAAUUCCUUCUUUGCUGAAAAGUAUGUGAUGGCUCUAGGGGUCUCCAGAGGCAGAUUCCCAGUGCUGCUUCACCCCCCCCCCUCCCCCGCCACCGCCCUUGGCCUUUGAUGCCCAGGGAAAGCAGGUGGUUCUGGUGAGAAGGGGGUGACUGGGAGGCCAGCAGCUGAACUGGGGUUCCAACUGGGCCUCCAUUUCAAACUCAGUCACAAAGAGCUGCAACAUUCCCAGGACACAGCAGCUUACAGCCCUGGCUUCUCUUUUCUCAGGUAUGUGAAAGCCUGGCUUGUCCGACGAGUAGAUUAGAAAAGGAUAUGGGGAUGUGUCCCCAUACUUUAAAGCCAAGGGGAGAAAGCCUGGUGAAGAGAAGACACAAAACCUGUUUGGUGACUUGUCACUUUAGAGAGAACAGAAACCUCUCCAGGUGAACAUUCACAGCCCCCCCCCCCUUCCUCCUUCCAUCCAGGAGCCUUGGCUGGAGACCAGGGUGAGGACAAGGGACCCAGAGGAGCAAGGCUACUGCUCAUCCAGCCUGCGCCACGAUUGGAUGACACAGGUUUGAGAACACAGUUUAGGGCAAAACUAAGUUUAUUAACCUUGCCAGGUCACGUCAAUCAAGUAGCCAGAGAGAAACAAUGCCUUCAUUGUACAUGUAUCAGCUAGGAAAACAGCUGUGUAGCAGACACACAUUUUUUUUGAUAAGAGCAAAUUGUUGUCAUAUUUAUCUUCUCUUUCUUCCUCUUUAGUACAUAUUAAAGAGCUGAUAUCACCUGCAUAAAAAAAGCUGCCACUAAAUCCUGGGAAAGGUCUGAUCCCCAUGGCCAAAGCCCUGGGGGUUUGGGAAGAAUGUCCUUCUCUUAGGUUUGCUUUGUUUUGAAUUGAUACUAGGGUUUCAUAGGCCUCAUGGAUCAACUCCACCAAGCUCCUCAUGAAAGCGUGCUCCCAAUGGGGUCCUACCCACUAGCAGUGUGUGCAAAGAAGUCUCCGUCAGAAAUCUGCUCCUGCAGCCCUGCCUGUACGCCCCCCCUGAUUGCCGAGGGCUUCAUGAUCAGCCGCUGUGCACAGCAGGGACCUCGGCAUGUCUGCUGGGUAGCAUCCUGUAGUCUGACUCUUCUUUUCUCCUCAUGCAGCGUUACAAGAGGAUGCAACCUUAGGAAGGCUGUGAAGAUCCAAGGUUCGGCCCAUUUUGUGAAGAUGAGCGUGCACACUUGGUAGGGUGUGGGUGUAGAGAGGAGGCAAGAACUGGAGCCGACGUUUCUCUUGGGACUGCUGGGCAGGGCUGUCUGUGGCAGCGAGACUAUAGUUUGGACUUCUGUGUAAAGAACCGUUUAGUAAAGAAAAGGAGAAAUUUUUUUUUUCUGACUUUUACAUAGUAUGAUAGAGUUUCCUAAAAAUAAAGAGCUGUUUAUAAAUGUCACCUGAGGAGAAACUGGGAACUUCGGAUCUACCUUUCCUUUUUAUUACACUCUUGCUUUGAAAUAUGGUCCUUCAACGCUGGGAACUAGACGUCAAUUAAGAAUGUCACAUCAUGUAACUACUACAAGGAAACUAAUGCUUUUCAGCAGACAAGACACACAGCAGGGCCCUCAACACUCACAAAAAUGGGGCUUUAAUCAUUAGGGCUUUGGACACACGAAACAAAGUAACAGUCAAUAUAAUUGUGGAUUAAAUAGAAAGAAAACAUGAAUAAAUAGGAGAAAAAGCAAUAACCUUUAAAAGGAAAUAAUAUAGUGCAUAAUGUAAUACAGUUGUUUAUAGGUAAGAUAAAAGUGUGUUUUUCAAAAAUGUCAUUA